ACAGGUGUAAUUUAAUAAGAAUAUUUGUUUUAGGAAUAAAAGGUAUUACUAAUAGUAGUCGCUUGUU
rnacentral:tRNA from 1 species